rnacentral:rRNA from 1 species
GGGAACGUGCCCUUUGGUACGGAACAACUGAGGGAAACUUCACCUAAUACCGUAUGUGCCCUUCGGGGGAAAGAUUUAUCGCCAUUGGAGCGGCCCGCGUUAGAUUAGCUAGUUGGUAGGGUAAAGGCCUACCAAGGCGACGAUCUAUAGCUGGUCUGAGAGGAUGAUCAGCCACACUGGGACUGAGACACGGCCCAGACUCCUACGGGAGGCAGCAGUAGGGAAUCUUGCGCAAUGGGCGAAAGCCUGACGCAGCCAUGCCGCGUGAAUGAUGAAGGUCUUAGGAUUGUAAAAUUCUUUCACCGGGGACGAUAAUGACGGUACCCGGAGAAGAAGCCCCGGCUAACUUCGUGCCAGCAGCCGCGGUAAUACGAAGGGGGCUAGCGUUGCUCGGAAUUACUGGGCGUAAAGGGAGCGUAGGCGGAUAGUUUAGUCAGAGGUG